rnacentral:tRNA from 1 species
CCUGGCGGCUCAGACAGUAAAGCAUCUGCCUGUAAUGUGGGAGACCCAGGUUCGAUCCCUGGGUCAGGA